CUCCAUAUGCCCUUCUGCUGUCUUGCCCAUCUCCUUGACUCCACUUCAGUAAUAAACUUGUCUGUGACUGCAGCAUCACUGCAUAAGCUCAGGUUUGAAAUCUACUAAAGAUUAAAGAAGUACCUUGGUGCUUGGGACUCAACGUUGCUUCAGAAAUAAAAGUGAGAACAGACCGAUACCAUGAAGCAGCAUGCAUCAGAGGACUGGGACAUCCUUCAUACCAGCAUCUCACUAACAGACUAUGGGCUUCUGAGUGGACUCAACCUGAAUUCUGAAUGUGUUCAGAUGAGGAAAAGAACCAACAUUUCAUGAAAUUAUGGAAAGAAAGAUCUUACAGGUGGGCAAUUCGUUACCUGAUGAUUUGCCUUCACCAAGUAAGCUCCUGUACUGACACAACUGGGCCUUUUCUGGCACUGAAGAUGCGUGCUCCUCUGAGAAAAAAAGUUCAAUUAAGUAAUACUAAGCAAACCUCUGCUUGAAGUCUCCAUAGAGGAUCCUGUUAGGGAAGCCUUUCCUACAGAUCCUGAUGCCUUCCAGGACACCGUUACAGCGCAGCUGGUGCAUCACCAGAGGGUUCUCCAUGGCCCCAGGAGUCUUGGUCUCAUUGGGAAUGAUGCAGCGCACAAAGUGGGGGUGGGUAGACCUCAGUUAUUGAAAAUCUGUGGAGGACGGAGCCAUGUGAGAUACAGAUCAAGCACUCGGUGCCAACUUGCAUCCAUCUUCUGCCUCACUUCUUCAUAUGCUGACAGUCUCUCUGUGCCACUUUGUACAGCUACAAAACCCAAAGGAAGUAACAUUGCAGACAAGGGGGACAUCACAGAAGAUCCCAAAGGUCUUAGGUGGCCAUCACUGUUUCAUUCCUCAUCUAGCCCUUUCUGUGAUGAAGAAUGACAGAAAGGGAACAAUAAGUGAUGGAUUAGUAACUAAACAUUGAGUAAAUUCAGUAAGGGUUAUACAAAAUGGCCCACAGAGUUUGAAAAAUAUGUGUUGUAAAAUAAUCAUAACAUUGUUUUCGUUACUUUCUUUGUAACUGUAGAAUGUCUUUUAUUGAGGCACAAUGUCUUAAGUAUAAAUUGUUUCACUGAAAAUAAUGUAAAAAGUAAUGGGACUAGAUAAUGCAGAUCAUAAUGAAAAUAAAUGAAAUAAACACACAGUACUGAAUAGAAGCAAAUUUAUGUUACACAAUAUCUUUUUAACAACAUUUUCCACUGCUAAUCUCAAGGGUAAUAAUUUAAUCCGUCUAAAUCAACUACCUUAACACAUAUGUGGAUAAGUAUACUAACACAUUGAAUGCUGUACUAACUGCAUAAAAGCUAUUAAUGCAAAAAGACUAAUGAAAAAAACAGUUGGACAGCUGCAUAAAGUCCUGUCGCUGAUUGUUUUCUGCUCUUUCUCAUUUUGUUUUUACCACCAUCUAACUCACUAUCUAGCCAACACUCAGACCUGUACUUGAAAAGUAAUCAUCUAAAAUAUAAUUAGCUCCACAUCUAAACCAGAUGUUUUCAUACACUGUGUAAAAAGAUUAAUUUUCUCUCACUGUCUGACAAUGAAUCUGACUAAACUGUUUCUGGUUUUUGUCAGUUAGGUUAAACAAAAUGAUGUUUUUUUAUUUAAUAAUAAUGAUAACUAGAUUUUUUGAAACGUUUUUCUUUUUUAUUAUUACUUCUUUCAAAGUCAAAGCUUUACAUGCCACAGGUUUAGUGCGCAUUUAAACAUUAGGAACGCCCAGGUGACCAUAUGGACUUUUGAAGUUCUAAUUGGUUAGGUCACAACAUUUUGUUCAUCCAAAUCAUCCAAAAAUAUCUAACAGCAUUAUGUAAUAUACCCACAAGUGUGGUUUAGUCUUUGGUAUGAUUUCCAGAUGCCUGUAUUCAUUUGUUCAGAGGACUACAUAUAAAUAUAAACACUUUCUAAUGUUAAUCCUUCAUGUUGUUCAAAAAGAAGGCAGGUUCCAGAAAAUGACUGAGAAGCCCUUUGGAAGGAUUCCUGAAACAUCUACCCAAAAUGUAGAGUUUAAAGCCAGUCCCACCAAAUAAAGGACGUUUAUUUAAACUUUGGAUCUUAAAGAAAAUAAAAUUCUGAGAAAAACGCAUAUAUGUGUUAUAUUAUUUUGGCAUUUAGAUGGUAGAAAUUGUUCUGAUAAACAUAACUGAUCUAAAACGGGAACAAUUGAAGGUGAUUUAUUGUCAAAAACACUUAGAGAAAAACAAUAUUUUUUAUGAGUUCAGAUUUUAAUGGCCCAUGCUUGCUCCUGUUAUGAAAGUACUUACUUCUACCAUAAGUUCAAUAUAAACAUUCUUUUUCUUAAAGUGUUACAAAUAGCCAGAUAAAAUUCACUAACAAGAAAAUCACAGAAUAAAAUGUAUCUGUAAAACAGA